UUCAUGUUUUUCGGAAUAUGGAUAUUUUCAAUCGGCUUACACCAUCAAGUCUGGUGUACUUCACAUCGAUGACAUGUUCUUCACAAACUCAUUUCAUAUGUCAAUGUUUAUGUCGUAUUCCAUACUUGUUCCACCAUAAUAUGGUGUGCAUAUCAAUGGAUACCGAUAACAAAUACACAUUGGACGUAUAUGUUCCAAAAUGUGAAUAUUUCAUUUCAAUUUACACCAUGGAGUCUAAUGCAUUUCACAUCACUAAGAUGUUCUUCACAAACUCAGUUCAAAUGUCAUUAUUUAUAGCAAUUUUCAUACUUGAUACACCACGAUUUCUUAUGUUUGUCUAUGAAAUGUUAUAAACUUACUCAAACUAAUAAGAGAUGCAUUCAAACAAACUUAAUUGUGUUACUUUUUCAACGAGAAAGCACAUGGUUCGAAAAAAAAACGCUGUAAACUAUAAAUAAUUUCUCCGAUGUACAUGGACGAAAUCAGGAGUAAAAUCGUACCCAACAAUCUUAUAUAGCAGCGGCCAACAAUCCAACCGCACCAGUCGUACAUCGCUGAACUACAACUUAAACAGAAUUAGCAACCGUCGUCCCAUCAACAGUAAACAGCCGGAUGUAUUUGAGUAUUCCAAUUCCCUCCUGAGCUUUCCUGAGUCUUUCCUGAGCUCGUGAAACAUCAAAUAAUGGAAUGCUUAGAAGAUCACCGUAACACUUACUACCAUCUUACAAACAGUAAAUCCAUACAAGUACAUCCACCAAACCAACAUGGAAUUUGGAAGCUGUCGCAGGACAGUAGUGAAGGUUUACUUCCCGAUGGAGACGGUGGGGAUGGGGAAUAAAUCAAGAUCGGACUACGACACUCACAGAAUUUCAACCAGAAGCAUCACCUACCCAUAGGAACUUUUAUAACCGGCUGAUUGAUGCAAAUAAUGCUAAGUCAUAACUUUCGUUCUAUUGAAGAGGAAGACGGCAAGACUCUCAAGCGUGAAGCGGCACCCGCUGGUAGCCAACCAAUUCAUUUUUAUUAAUUAAACGGAGCAAUUUAUUAAUCAUAUAUAUUUUUUACAUUCGUUUUCAUUUUAUUAGUUCCGCCCGGAAUGCGAUUUCCGUUAGAAGGACGAAAACCGAAGAAAGUUUUUUUUUCUAUAACUCCAUUGUUGAUUCGGUGAAGUUAUAGCAAAACAAAUGUUUCUUCAAUUGGGUUUCGAUUCGAUAACGGAAA